GGGGAUGUGGCUCAGUGGCAGAGCAUCUGCUUGGUGUGCAGAAGAUCUCAGGUUCAAUCCAUGGCAUCUCCA